AUGAAAUAUUUUAUAUUAACAUAUGAUAUGUUAACAGAUAAAAAAUGCAAAAAAAUGAGUGAUGAAGAUGUAACGUAUUUGCUAAGUCAUAUACAAGAUGAUUCAACUGAUGCAGAUUUUAAAAAAAACAAUAAUUGCAAUUUAGUUAAUAAGAAAGAUGAAGAAAUAAAAUCUUGGCUAGUCAAAUUAAAAUCUUUUAUAAUAAAAUUAUUAAUUAAUAAAAACACUCAAGUUAAUAGUAAGAGUAAGAGUAAACAUAUAUACAAAUGGAACACUACUAUAAAAUUAAAUGCAUUGUUUCUUAAUUUAAUAGAAUAUAUUUUCAUUUUUUACAUAUUUAUGCAUAAUAUUAAUAGUCAAAACAAACUACAGAAAAAUGAUGAACAUAUAUGUCGCAUUUUUAAAAAACUAAAUACGAGCGUUAUGUUUUAUUCGGUUAAUGAAAAAUUGAAAAUCUUUAUGUAUGGUUUUAUGCUCUUCCAAGUAUUUAAUAUUGCAAAAACAGAGAACGUUAAGGAUAAAAAUGGAGAGGGAAAUGGAGAGCAAAGUAAUGAAAAUGAUGGAGAAAGUGAUGGAGAAAGUGAUGGAGAAAGUGAUGGAGAAAGUGAUGAAGAAAGAAAUGAAGAAAGCGGUGGAGAAAGUGGUGAAGAGAAAAAAAAACAUAAUAAGUUAAAAAAUAAUAACCUUACUAAUAUAAAAGAUAGUACUAAUUUGAUAAAUAAUAUCGACGAUAAUAAUGCGGUGGAAGUAUAUAAUCACAAGUUAUCUACAAAAGGACACAUAGAGCCAUCUAUUUCUUUAGAUCUGUCAAAGUUAGUCACAUUUUUCAAAUAUAUAUAUUUAUAUAGUGAUUCAAACGAUGCUAUGUCUGAGUUUAAAAGUGAAGUUUACCAUAAUACAACUGGUAAAGAAAAGAAUAUCGAACACAUAACCGAUGAGAACGAAAAAAAUCCAAAAAAAAAAUGUAUAAUGUUGUAUGAAUUUUUAUUUUAUUAUAAUAAAGUUUUAAUAGAGUGUAGUGAUAAGAAAUCAAUUUAUAUUUGUUUAAAAUUUAAAAAUGUAAUUAGAAAUAUAUAUAGUGUUAUAUAUGACUCGAUAGAAGAUGUACAAUACAUACUUGAGUAUAUUGAUUCAAAAGUUUUAGAUAUAAAUAUAAACAAUUUAGAAGCAGAUAAAAACAAAAUUAAAAAUGUUUUAUAUAAUUUAAAUAUACAUACAAUAACAUUAAUAUUUUUAGUUCGUAACAACAAAAAUUUAUUAUAUAAUAUUACCAUUUUAAAAAAUAAUCAUUCGAAUAUUUUAUAUUUUAUUCAACUAUAUUUUAAUCUUAUUACAUAUAUAAAUAAUAUAUUGGAUAAUAUAAAAAUCUUUUUAAAUACUGAGAUAUAUUUUUCCUUAUUACAUCUUAUAUAUAAACUGUCGCAACUUUUGAUUUUUAUUUUUACUAGCACCAAGAUGUUAUUAAAAGGAAGUGUAUUUUCUUCAUUUUCGGUUUUACUUUGUCAUUAUGGAAAGCUUUUAAUGACGACUAUGGGCAUACUGUAAUGAGAAAAGUGGCAAUAAAUAAAAUAAAAAUAUGAAAGAACGAAAAAUU
ensembl:lncRNA